GUUUUUUACUAGACACCAUAGAGAUGUUCAGGACCAGUUUAUUACUAGCCAUCAUAGAGAUGUUCAGGACCAGUUUAUUACUAGCCCUCAUAGAGCUGUUCAGGACCAGUUUAUUACUAGCCACCAUAGAGAUGUUCAGGACCAGGUUAUUACUAGCCAUCAUAGAGAUGUUCAGGACCAGUUUAUUACUAGCCCCCAUAGAGAUGUUCAGGACCAGUUUAUUACUAGCCAACAUAGAGGUUCAGGACCAGUUUGUUAUUAGCCCCCAUAGAGAUGUUCAGGACCAGUUUAUUACUAGCAAACAUAGAGAUGUUCAGGACCAGUUUAUUACUAGCCAACAUAGAGAUGUUCAGGACCAGUUUAUUACUAGCCCCCAUAGAGAUGUUCAGGACCAGUUUAUUACUAGCCAACAUAGAGAUGUUCAGGACCAGUUUAUUACUAGCCAACAUAGAGAUGUUCAGGACCAGUUUAUUACUAGCCAACAUAGAGAUGUUCAGGACCAGUUUAUUACUAGCCAACAUAGAGAUGUUCAGGACCAGUUUAUUACUAGCCGCCAUGGAGAUGUUCAGGACCAGUUUAUUACUAG
rnacentral:lncRNA from 1 species